rnacentral:sRNA from 1 species
AGGUCUAUAUAAAUAAGAUCUACUAUGUUUAAAAAUAGUUCAUAUUUGAAACGUGUCUAUUCCCACAAUGAGGCUCGCAUACGUUGUAUUUUGUAUUGCUUCCACUCUUCUCCAUUUCUCUGAGGCCCAGAAGAGUCAAGCCAAGCCUUGCGUCACAAGCGCUGACUGUGGAGCAGCUGAAUGUUGUCUUAGUCCGGCUGUGUUUAGGGGCAGGAGACAGACUGGAGGAUAUUGUAUGCCACGAGGCUCAAA